rnacentral:rRNA from 1 species
AUUGAACGCUGGCGGCAUGCCUAACACAUGCAAGUCGAGCGGAUAAACGCAGCUUGUUCCUGGAUUUAGCGGCGGGCGGGGGAGUGAUGCACAGGAAUCUGCCCGGUAGUUGGGUCUAACAUCCGCAAGCGACCGCUGAUACCGCAUCCGACCAGAUGUUGAAACUGGGGGGUCUUCGGACAGCACCGUAUCUGCUGAGCCUACGCCGGAUGAGCUAGUUGGUGGGGUAAAGGCCUACCAAGGCGACGAGCCGUAGCUGGACUGAGAGGACGAUCGGCCACACUGGAACUGAGACACGGUCCAGACUCCUACGGGAGGCAGCAGUGGGGAAUAUUGGACAAUGGGCGAAAGCCUGACCCAGCCAUGCCGCGUGUGUGAAGAAGGUCUUCGGAUUGUAAAGCACUGUAAGUUGGGAGGAACGGCUGUAGGUUAAUACCUUGCGGUUUUGACGGUACCAAGAGAAUAAGCACCGGCUAACUACGUG